AGAGUUUGAUCCUGGCUCAGGACGAACGCUGGAGGUGUGCUUAAUACAUGCAAGUCGAACGAGGCUUCUCUGCUUGCAGAGAAUGUCCUAGUGGCGGACGGGUGAGUAACACGUAAGUAACCUACCCUUUAGUUGGGGAUAACCCCGGGAAACUGGAGCUAAUACCGAAUACGCUCUUUUUAUCGCAUGGUAGAAAGAGGAAAGGAUUUAUUCGCUAAAGGAUGGACUUGCGGCCGAUUAGUUUGUUGGUGAGGUAAUGGCUCCACCAAGGCUACGAUCGGUAGCUGGUCUGAGAGGAUGAUCAGCCACACUGGGACUGAGACACGGCCCAGACUCCUACGGGAGGCAGCAGUAGGGAAUAUUGCGCAAUGGGGGAAACCCUGACGCAGCGACACCUCGUGUGUGAUGAAGUCUUUCGGGAUGUAAAGCACUGUCAGUGGGGACGAUUAUGACGGUACCCACAGAGGAAGCUCCGGCUAACUACGUGCCAGCAGCCGCGGUAAUACGUAGGGAGCGAGCGUUGUCCGGAUUUAUUGGGCGUAAAGCGAGCGUAGGCGGUUCUGUAAGUUGGAUGUUAAAUCCAGGGGCUCAACCCCUGUCCGCAUCCAAUACUGCAGAUCUAGAGAGCAGGAGAGGGAAGCGGAACUCACAGUGUAGCGGUGAAAUGCGUAGAUAUUGUGAGGAACACCGGUGGCGAAGGCGGCUUCCUGGACUGUUUCUGACGCUGAGGUUCGAAAGCAUGGGGAGCGAACAGGAUUAGAUACCCUGGUAGUCCAUGCCGUAAACGUUGCACACUAGGUGUGGGAGGUAUCGACCCCUUCCGUGCCGUAGCUAACGCGUUAAGUGUGCCGCCUGGGAAGUACGGCCGCAAGGCUAAAACUCAAAGGAAUUGACGGGGGCCCGCACAAGCAGUGGAACAUGUGGUUUAAUUCGACGAUACGCGAAAAACCUUACCCGGGUUUGGCAUCCUCAGUAUCCUCUAGAGAUAGAGGAGUGCCCGCAAGGGAACUGAGUGACAGGUGCUGCAUGGUUGUCGUCAGCUCGUGUCGUGAGAUGUUGGGUUAAGUCCCGCAACGAGCGCAACCCUCGUCGUAUGUUGCCAACACGUUAUGGUGGGAACUCAUACGAUACUGCCUGUGGAAAGCAGGAGGAAGGUGGGGAUGACGUCAAAUCAUCAUGGCCCUUAUAUCCGGGGCUACACACAUGUUACAAUGGCAUGUACAAUGAGUCGCGAAGCCGCAAGGUGUAGCCAAUCUCACAAAACAUGCCCCAGUUCGGAUUGUAGGCUGCAACUCGCCUGCAUGAAGUCGGAAUUGCUAGUAAACGCAGAUCAGCACGCUGCGUUGAAUACGUUCCCGGGCCUUGUACACACCGCCCGUCACACCAUGAAAGCUGGAAGUACCCGAAGCCAGUGAGCUAACCGCAAGGAGGCAGCUGUCGAAGGUAAUGCUAGUGAUUGGGGUGAAGUCGGAACAAGGUA
rnacentral:rRNA from 1 species